GCCCUCCUUAUGCUCACCACAGGCUGUGCUCUCAUGCUGACUCUAUAUAGAAAGAAGGCAGAGUAAACCCACCCCGUUUGCCUAAGCCCAGGUCAUUGUGUCUGUAUUGUGAAUGGGGAUACAUGG